UUAUCGGUCAUAUGAAGACGAAUUAUUAUUAUCCAUUUAUUCCUUUAUAUUAAGAAGUAUCGUAUACCUCAUAGGUACUACGGAAUAAUUUUCAAAUAAGAAACUUUUGAAUUGUCUGUUAUAUGUGUAUAUGCAUAAGUAAUUUUUGUCUCGUAAAUAAUAUCAUAAGUACCAUUGUUUACGUGCAGAAACUAGCUGCUAAUUCUAUACACAUAUUUAAUGUAAGUCGUGUCAUGCGGAACAGGAUACAUUUAUUCCAUUAAUAGCAGACGAAUUUUUUUCGACGUAACAAUGGUAUUAAUAAAGCAUCGCGUACCGGCUGUAACAGUGACGUCCAGUUGAUCUCCUUUAAUACACAUCAGACAAACGAGCAGAAAUAUAACUGCAUAAUAAAAAGUUUAUCCAAGUAAAACGAUACAAUAAGUACGUUUUCAUUUCGGGUCUUGCUCUGAAGUAACUAAAAGCCCCACUUCUAGUCCACCAGUAUUUUUACCAACCCGAUUGCUGCUCUCAUACAUCAUCUGUGCGGCAAAAAUUGUCGUGGCAAUUCUCCAUUACGCCGCCCUUAAUAGGAAAAACACUUUUUUUCAAACACUUGAAUAUGAAGAUGGUACGUUUAUUUCGCCAUACCAUCGCUAAGUUCGUACCGCCGUCGGAUCGUGAAUAGGUAGGAGGGGGUUGCUGAGAGCUGCUCAGUUGUGUUUUCAUCAUUUUCGCUCUACGAGGCUCGAUUGCUCAAAAUCUCCAAUUGUUAGUGUACUCGUCUUGAGUAACACUAGGAUUAAGGAAGGAUUGCCUCUUCAGCUGGAAACUAUCAAUUUAUUCGACAUUGCUAAGCAAUGCCCUUCUUCUUCCUCUGUUAUUCACAAGAUUAGCUAGGCGAGCAGUUGGACUGAUGUAAUGUAAGCAUUUUUUGUGUGACGUAAUAUUUGAAUCUGUUCUGAAGCGAGGUUCGAUAAGGAUACAAAGGUCCAGAGUUACCAAGGCAAAUAUUUGAGCAAUCAAGUCUACUUUGGAUAAUAAAUUAGCCCUAAAUUUCCUUGAAAUUUUGAAGAAAAUUAGAAUUUUCACAGUGCUAUGUGAAGUGGCGUCUGAUACACGUAAUGCAUCCGUCUUUUAUCUCUUCAAAAAAAAAUAUAGACAUUCAGAAACGAUACGUGAUAGCAGUAUUGGUCGACGCACUUGGAACAUUUAGGACGGCCCUCUAGUCACAGACCUUUUAGGCAAGUCCUUUUUUGAAUUAAGGGAUAAUGGCAUGGAUGGGCGUGAUGAAAGUUCUCGAUUCAGCGCCGUCGCUAAACCCGACUUGGACUUUUCUUUUGUACAAUUUUGUCAAAUUUAUUUCACAUAAUGAGAAAAAUAACUAACGAAAUUCAAUCAAUGGGCAUCUUCAAGUUUGAGCAUGUAAGUAUUCUGUACGCUUUUUGAAGUGGCUGUUGUUGUGCGUCUAUGGAACCGCGUUAAUAGCGAAUUUUUAUUUAUCUUCAAUGGUUUCCUAGUAAGGUUUGCUCACAGACAGAAAAUCUUUAAACAAUCUAUUUCAUGCGAGUUACCGCAUCUUUUUUAAUGUAGUUCCUUAACAGAGGUUUGCAGGUAUGAAUAGUCUAUUAUUAUGUAUCCUGUUUUACCUCUCAAAUGGUCCAGCUCGCAGUUUCUGCGGACCAAUUUCUGUUUGUUUUCUAUUUAAAUAAGUGCGUCACUGCUUGACUGUGGAAAAGUAUUCAUAACUGUAAUAACAUAAAAAAUAACAUAAAAACGAAUAUGUUUUUACCACUGCUGCUGGUCGCUGCGUACACCGCAUCGUGCCUUACUACUCGAUGCGUUUGCAUUUGUUCGCAUAACUAAAUAGAAUUGUUUCUCGAAUGAAUGAUCUUUGCAAACAAAUUUCUUUCAAACCUCAGGUAGAACCGAUAAGUGUGUUAAGUAAGUCAGCAAACUGUUACGUUAUUUAUUACGUAACUAUUGCAAGACCAAUGUGUAUAAUACAUACAGUCCUGUAAUAUGGUAUGAAAAACGCAAUGCGUUCAUCAAUCUUGGUUGUUCGCCUCAGGCUGUUCGAAGUGUCCAAGGGUAUACUAGAGAGAAUCCGCAACGGAUGUUUAGCCGGUUAUUGACGUUACAGCAAAGAAUGGCCCGAGAGCCUCUAGGCUUCGUUCCUGCGCGAAGCUGUCGACUCGUACACGAUACCUUGAUAACGGACACACCAAAUGAUAUAUAUAUAUAUAUAUAUAUGUAAAAGUGUUCAUGUAAACAGUCUGGGAUUUAAAACAAAUAGUGAUUGCUUGGUUUCUUCUACUUCACCUCUUGCUUGACCAUGUUUGAGAGACAAUAUGGAGAAAUCUGUGAACUGCGAAUCGAGUUCCAACACGUUGUGUGCUUCUUCCACUCUCUUCAAGCGCAAUUCGUUAUUGCACCAGCUCUGUAGAAAUCCGGGUUAGAUUGAUCUCUUUAAGGUCACCAAUAGUUGCUGGAGAUGAUGCCGACCCGUAAUAAGACAAAAUCGUAAACGACUAAUAGGUGUCCCUUCGAAUCGAAGAUCAUUUGUAACUGCUGGAAUUGAUGUAACUGCUUUGGAUCGCCGUUAUUAUUUGUCCAGGUCGAGCUCAGCCACCUUGCCGUGCAGAACGAUUUCCUUUACCUCGGGUAUAGACGGCUUUACUUUUCUAAAUACUUCCACGACGUUUUGAGAAUAAAAACUCAACAUUUCUAAGAGCCGUGGCAAAUGUGCAUUGCGAGCUAACAUAUACUGUGUACAGGUGCUGCCGCACGACUGUUAGGGCUGUUCUACAUUUUUUUAGGUAUAUAGAACUACUAGAGUAAGUGAACUGUUGCAAUGGCAAGCCGCGCUCCUACCAGACAUAAGCGUUUGCGAACCAGGAUAGAAGUUCGCAAUUACAGCAUUUUUAGCUAUGCCCCUUCAUAUAAAAGACUCCAAUUUAAGGAUAUCACAGUUUUCGUCAUUCUACGCAAAACGGCCAUUUCUCGAACAAAUGAUAUACACAUAUAUAUAUAUAUAUAUAUAUAAAGAAGACGUCUAGCUUGGUGAUGGGAAAGGGUCGAUUAUAAAUGCUCGUUGUGAAUCAAAUCGGGAUCGUCAGCUUUGUUCCUCCGGAGUUCCUCGAUGGCUGCCAUCACCUCUAGCUUUUUCAAGUGCGCAAUGUAUAUCAAGCGUUUAUUGAUCUCGUACAGCUUGGCGAAGUAUACAAUUGCAGAAAAAAGUAUCUUGACUGGCCAGCGUAUCCUUGAACUGUUGAAUGAAGAAGGUCGUUUCGACUAAACAUGCUGUUUUUCAGAUUUGCAGAUGUAUUUGUAACCACAAACCUUUCUCAUAAUCGUUGCGGGUCUUAUCGAAGCCUUAAAAUCAGUGAUUAAUAGUGUCUUAUUAAUGUUUAGCGACUAUAAAAGAAAAUGAGCUCGAAAAGCCUGUGUGACAACAACACUAGUUUGGCCAUUAUUCUGUAUGCUAUUUGGCUGAACAGUAAUUGGAAAACUUGAUCGUAGCCAUUCCAAGCAUUACAUUUAAUGAACGUAUAUAUUUUAAUUGACUGGUGUAUCAAUGUAGAAGUUUCAGCUACUGGAGAAGUUUGAGAUACGAUAAAAAGUAAAUAAAUGGACUGUACAUUAAGAUUUAUAUAUAUAUAUAUAUAUAUAUAUAUAUAAGGUUCCUUAAAGUUAAACGUUGCUAGAGUUCCUAGAACGGAGGCUACAAAGGUCUGCUCUACCAAUAGGCGGUACAGUUGGACCCAUACAGCAGCACCAUUCUCUCUAGAUAUAAAAAUAUGCUGUCAGCCAACCGUAUUUAAUAUAUUUACACUUACCUCGCAAUAAAAGCGUACCCUUAUCCUCACGUGGUGUUCGAACCAAAAUUCUAUUUUUUCUCCUUCCGUUCCUCCUGUUAACUUUGUUGUCUUUUUACAUUUUAUCAAGUUUUAAUGUUCAAGUUUCUGCCACAUUUUUAUUGCUAAAUUUUAAGUGGCGAAAUUAUUCAAGUUAUAAAAUGCAUUUUACCUAAAAAUGAACCAGCACUUGUUGAUGCUUAAAUGUCUUCUUCUAGAAUUCUGUUGGAAAAAAAAAUCUACUUCCUUAUGAUCCUAAAGUGACAUGAACUUUCCUAGCGUAUCGUUUUUUCGAGCCGCUUUGAAAAAAAAAAUACAGAUUCCCAAGAUCCUCAACUAUCGAAUCUUGGCGAUAUAACAUGCGUCACUUGUGCUAUAAUGUAUGUAGUGCUAUAUUUAAUAGGUUAAUUAAUGGCUCAUUGUGACUAAACAUUUUUUGGGCAUAUAUUAUAUUAUAAACAUAACAGACUCAGCGUUAGGUGACCUAUCAUGCACUGCUGUAACGUAGAUCAAUAAACUACAUAGUCACCGCCCUGUGUUCAAGGGCCCAUACACACGACGCGAAUGAAUCCCUAACAACGCUUAACAUUGAAGUACCGAUAUUUCAUUUUUAUUAUUCAUUAUACAAUGCUGCUCACGGUUUUUUUUUUUACUGAUUUAUCAUCAUAUUCACUGCUGUAGCUUAUUUUUGCAAUACUUGGGGAAUUCGUUACAGAAUUACAUUUCCUUUUUUCUUGGCGGUCAUUAUUUUAAAAUAUUAUUAUAAUAAUAACAACUUCAGUUGUUAUUAUAGUAGUUACCGUAAUAAUUAUUCAUACCGCUGUAUGUACAGGAUACACGUUUUUGUCAAGUAUUGUUAUGAAUAUUACUAUUGUGGUCUCGUUUUUCGAAGCUUUUCCAGCUUCACGAAAUCAGCCUCAUCUCGUAUGAACUUGAUAGAUCAUGCUCUCUUUUUCGGUUUUUUUUUUUCUUUUUUUUUUUUGCAGUCUCUUAUCGUUACGCGUGGAUUUACUAGAGACCGUAGACAUUGUGACUUAUUUGAUAACUUAGUUCCCGAAUCGUCGUCACCACCUGCCAUUUGCUUCCAUCCAUAUUUUUCUACUCUAAUACCAAUUGUUUCCACUGCUUGUUCAGCGCGUUUUUCAUCUUCAUCAGAGUACUCGCCGUUAAUGUCAUAUCAUUUAUUAGUCAUUCGCGUACCAUGUAUCGUCUCGACACACGCACAACCAUACGCUGUGAUCUGUUAGCCCCUGUGAAAUACUGUCAUUAAAACACGUGCUUUUCCUAAAUCAUACAGUUACACUCAUACGUUCAAUUGGUAUCUUUUUCUAUCGGGCUAGUUCCUCUUUAUUUUCACUAUAAACCCCUUUGACUUUCAUAUGUGUUGCUGCUAAUUGCCAUUGUAUUAGUUAUCAUAAAGUUUCUUCUCUUUAUCUAGUAUUUCAGUAACUUUCUCCUCGUGCUGCUACCGUAUUUUGAAUACUAAUUAACAUCAAUCAGAGAGUGAUGUGAUUGUUAAUCGCUAUUGAAAAAAAUGAAUAUAAUACUUUUUAUUCAGCAACAAUUCUCGAAUAAUAUUUAAAAUGUGAGAAUUUUUCAAAGAGUUUCGUAUAAUUAUUAAAUCAUUUACCGAAAGAGUCCCUGCGUUUGGUUCUGUUUUUCUCACUUUAUUAAAGGAGACGAACGCAUCAUUGGUCAUAUUAUCAAUACGACUGUUAAUAUCAUCGUAAACACAGUUAUUAUCUGCUGCUGCUGCUGCUGCUGCUACUCAAGGUACUCUCAGUGAAAGCUGUCCUCCUGUUUGUUUUUAUUCUAUUCUCUUCUGUCUAUACCUCAAUAUUCAACACGAUUCUUCAGCAUUUUCGGCGGUACCACAUGGA